rnacentral:misc_RNA from 1 species
GAAAUGCGAUAAGUAAUGCGAAUUGCAGAAUUCCAGUGAGUCAUCGAAUCUUUGAACGCACAUUGCGCCCUUUGGUAUUCCGAAGGGCAUGCCUGUUCGAGCGUCAUUAUCACCCCUCAAGCCCCGUGCUUGGUGUUGGACGGCUUGGUCGAGUGACAUUUCGUCCCCUCCUAAAGACAAUGGCGGCGGCCUGUGGUGCCCCCGGUACACUGAGCUUUUAACUGAGCACGUAUCGGACGAGGGCGCCCGGGACCCGGUCUUCUCCCUUCACCGGGAAACUUUCAAAAGGUUGACCUCGGAUCAGGUAGGAAUACGCGCUGAACUUAAGC